GCGGCUGUGGCGAAAUUGGUAGACGCGCCAGAUUUAGGUUCUGGUUCCGAGAGGAGUGGAAGUUCGAGUCUUCUCAGCCGCACCA
rnacentral:tRNA from 1 species